UCAGUAACGGCGAGUGAAGCGGCAAUAGCUCAAAUUUGAAAUCUGGCUCUUUCAGGGUCCGAGUUGUAAUUUGUAGAGGAUGCUUCGGGUGUGGCUCCGGUCUAAGUUCCUUGGAACAGGACGUCAUAGAGGGUGAGAAUCCCGUAUGUGACUGGAAGCCUUCGUCCAUGUGAAGCUCCUUCGACGAGUCGAGUUGUUUGGGAAUGCAGCUCAAAAUGGGUGGUAAAUUUCAUCUAAAGCUAAAUACUGGCCAGAGACCGAUAGCGCACAAGUAGAGUGAUCGAAAGAUGAAAAGCACUUUGGAAAGAGAGUUAAAAAGUACGUGAAAUUGUUGAAAGGGAAGCGCUUGCAACCAGACUUGCUCGCGGUUGCUCAGCCGGUGUUCUCACCGGUGCACUCUUCCGCGAUCAGGCCAGCAUCGGUUUGGGCGGCUGGAUAAAGGCUCUGGGAAUGUGGCUCCUCUCGGGGAGUGUUAUAGCCCAGGGUGCAAUGCAGCCCGCCCGGAUCGAGGACCGCGCUUCGGCUAGGAUGCUGGCGUAAUGGUUGUAAGCGACCCGUCUUGAAACACGGACCAAGGAGUCUAACAUCUAUGCGAGUGUUUGGGUGUCAAACCCAUGCGCGUAAUGAAAGUGAACGGAGGUGAGAACCCUUAAGGGUGCAUCAUCGACCGAUCCUGAUGUCUUCGGAUGGAUUUGAGUAAGAGCAUAGCUGUUGGGACCCGAAAGAUGGUGAACUAUGCCUGAAUAGGGUGAAGCCAGAGGAAACUCUGGUGGAGGCUCGCAGCGGUUCUGACGUGCAAAUCGAUCGUCAAAUUUGGGUA
rnacentral:rRNA from 1 species